CGAAAAUGCAGGUGAAAAUAUUUACAUGAGUCUUGAAUUUUAAAAAAAUGUUUUUUUAUUAGACUAAAAUUAUCAAGUUUAGUCUAUUAUGACGGGGAGGAAGUUUUGAGGAUUGUGAAAAGUUGUUGCUAUCUUUUAUUGUUUCAUUAGUGCAUUACUGACUUUUUGUAAUAUAUAAAUGGGAUUUGAUGUGAUAUACUUUAGUACUCUGUAUAGUACACAUUAAUUAUAUGGUUCGUGUUUUUGGUGUUUU
rnacentral:lncRNA from 1 species